GGAACAAUGAAGUGAACUAUUCUGAAGUUCUUGCACUGAAUUACUAAGGGGCAGCCAGAAGUAGUCAAAGCAAGUUUCUCCACUGCAGCAAUAUGAUGGUGUAAUAUCUACAGCAUACAGGAAACCAUAAAAACUAUGAUGGGAAAGAUUCAAGUUAACAACAGUAAUGUCAAGGAAGAAAGACUUUUCAAACCUGGGCCUUCUCUGGCGAGGGGGUCCCAAGGCCAAUAAUGAAGUCAGGAGUGGACCAUCUAUGGCCCUGGAUCAGAUUCAAACCUCCCUGCAAGAGACAAGUUCAGACAUUUG